rnacentral:rRNA from 1 species
GACGAACGCUGGCUGCGUGCUUAACACAUGCAAGUCGAACGAUGAUGCCCAGCUUGCUGGGUGGAUUAGUGGCGAACGGGUGAGUAACACGUGAGUAACCUGCCCCUGACUCUGGGAUAAGCGUUGGAAACGACGUCUAAUACUGGAUAUGACUGCCGGCCGCAUGGUCUGGUGGUGGAAAGAUUUUUUGGUUGGGGAUGGACUCGCGGCCUAUCAGCUUGUUGGUGAGGUAAUGGCUCACCAAGGCGACGACGGGUAGCCGGCCUGAGAGGGUGACCGGCCAAACUGGGACUGAGACACGGCCCAGACUCCUACGGGAGGCAGCAGUGGGGAAUAUUGCACAAUGGGCGAAAGCCUGAGGCAGCAACGCCGCGUGAGGGAUGACGGCCUUCGGGUUGUAAACCUCUUUUAGUAGGGAAGAAGCGAAAGUGACGGUACCUGCAGAAAAAGCACCGGCUAACUACGUGCCAGCCGCCGCGGUAA